UACGGCCGCAAGGUUAAAACUCAAAUGAAUUGACGGGGGCCCGCACAAGCGGUGGAGCAUGUGGUUUAAUUCGAUGCAACGCGAAGAACCUUACCUGGUCUUGACAUCCACAGAACUUUCCAGAGAUGGAUUGGUGCCUUCGGGAACUGUGAGACAGGUGCUGCAUGGCUGUCGUCAGCUCGUGUUGUGAAAUGUUGGGUUAAGUCCCGCAACGAGCGCAACCCUUAUCCUUUGUUGCCAGCGGUCCGGCCGGGAACUCAAAGGAGACUGCCAGUGAUAAACUGGAGGAAGGUGGGGAUGACGUCAAGUCAUCAUGGCCCUUACGACCAGGGCUACACACGUGCUACAAUGGCGCAUACAAAGAGAAGCGACCUCGCGAGAGUAAGCGGACCUCAUAAAGUGCGUCGUAGUCCGGAUUGGAGUCUGCAACUCGACUCCAUGAAGUCGGAAUCGCUAGUAAUCGUGGAUCAGAAUGCCACGGUGAAUACGUUCCCGGGCCUUGUACACACCGCCCGUCACACCAUGGGAGUGGGUUGCAAAAGAAGUAGGUAGCUUAACCUUCGGGGGGGCGCUUACCACUUUGUGAUUCAUGACUGGGGUGAAGUCGUAACAAGGUAACCGUAGGGGAACCUGCGGUUGGAUCACCUCCUUACCUUAAAGAAGC
rnacentral:rRNA from 1 species